AUAAUGUAAUGAGUUUGUAUGACAUGUAUGACUUAUUAUGUUAACCUCGUUCUUGUCUCGACGUAAUUUUUGUAAAAUAGAUAAUAAUUAUCAUGCAUUUUUCCAAGUUGUAUAAUUCGUAUUUACUAUAUUGUAUUUUAAAUACAUUUUGUUGUACAAGUAUGUUUGUUACUAACUGAUGAUAAUAGGGCUUUCAUUGCACAUAAUGUAUGUUUAUUGAUAUGACCAAUUAUCCUAUAAAUGCGUUUCUACACAUUGGAGACCUUUUUAUAUGUGAAUGUGUAGAUUUAGAUAUACAGAAUGCAAGGACUGAUAGAAAUGAAAUACCACAGCUAGAAUUAGAACAUGAACAUUAAUCAUGUAUUUAAUUGGUUUAGUUUUUUGCAUUAUUUCCAGUUUAUCAAUGUCAUGGCAAUAUGUUAAAUCUAGCUUGUAAAUAUUUGUUUUUAAUAAUGAUUUUCUAAAUAAAUUAUUUUACACAUU
rnacentral:sRNA from 1 species